rnacentral:rRNA from 1 species
CCUACGGGAGGCAGCAGUGGGGGAUAUUGCACAAUGGGGGGAACCCUGAUGCAGCGACGCCGCGUGGGUGAAGGAGUGCUUCGGCAUGUAAAGCCCUAUCGGCAGGGAAGAAGCAAGACGGUACCUGACUAAGAAGCCCCGGCUAACUACGGGCCAGCAGCCGCGGUAAUACGUAGGGCGCGAGCGUUAUCCGGAUUCACUGGGUGUACAGGGAGCGUAGACGGUCAUGCAAGCCAGGUGUGAAAGCACGGGGCCCAACCCCGGGACUGCCCUUGGAACUGCAUGGCUGGAGUGCGGGAGGGGAAGGCGGAAUGCCUGGUGGAGCGGUGAAAGGCGUAGAUAUCUGGAGGAAGACCGGCGGCGAAGGCGGCCUGCUGGACUGCGACUGACGUUGAGACUCGAAAGCGUGGGGAGCGAACAGGAUUAGAUACCCCAGUAGUC